GCCUAUGAUGAACCCUAUGAGCUCUGAUAUGUGAUGAAUGAUGGGCGAGCUGAGG
rnacentral:ncRNA from 2 species